rnacentral:rRNA from 1 species
GAAACCACAGAGAAGCCCUCCCUCCCUCCCUCCCUCCUCGACGGGCCAUGGCCAAGCGUCACGCGCACAAGAGGACAAAACUCCGCAACCAUAUAAGCGGCCCCUCCCCUCUCGUCUCCAAAAGUUCGAGCCCCUCAUUUCUCAUACCUACAAGCUCUGCUAGCUAGUUCAUCUAUCGCUAGCUUCCUCAUACCCAUAUCGCUACCAGAUCUUCUUCCAAGACUGGUUAGCAGUCGAAGCUAGCUAGCUAGCUAGGGUUCGUCAUCGAGCGCGAGCGCGCGAUGAUCAUGUCCGACCCGGCCAUGCUGCCGCCGGGCUUCCGGUUCCACCCGACGGACGAGGAGCUCAUCCUACACUACCUCCGCAACCGCGCCGCCGAAUCGCCCUGCCCCGUCUCCAUCAUCGCCGACGUAGAUAUCUACAAGUUCGACCCAUGGGCCCUGCCAUCCAAGGCUAGCUACGGGGACAGGGAGUGGUACUUCUUCACGCCGAGGGACCGUAAGUACCCCAACGGUGUCCGGCCGAACCGCGCCGCGGGUUCCGGCUACUGGAAGGCCACCGGCACCGACAAGCCCAUCCGCUGCAGCGCCACCGGCGAGAGCGUCGGCGUCAAGAAGGCCCUCGUCUUCUACAAGGGCCGCCCGCCCAAGGGCAUCAAAACCAACUGGAUCAUGCACGAGUACCGCCUCGCUGCCGCCGACGCACACGCCGCCAACACCUACCGCCCCAUGAAGUUCCGCAACGCCUCCAUGAGGCUGGAUGACUGGGUGCUGUGCCGGAUCUACAAGAAGACCAGCCAAGUGUCGCCGAUGGCGGUGCCGCCGCUGUCCGACCACGAGCUUGACGAGCCUUCUGGCGCUGACGCCUACCCCGUGUCGAGCGCCGGCAUGAUCAUGCAAGGCGGCGCCAGCGGCUACCCGCUGCAGGCCGCGGCCGUCGGCACACAGAGGAUGCCCAAGAUCCCGUCCAUAUCAGAGUUGCUCAACGAGUACUCGCUGGCGCAGCUCUUCGAGGACAGCGGACACGCGCUGAUGGCGCGGCACGAUCAGCACGCCGCCCUCCUCGGUCACCCCAUCAUGAGCCAAUUCCAUGUGAACAGCAUGCCGCAGCUUGGGCAGAUGGAUUCGUCAGCCUCAACGUCGGUGGCAGGCGAGGGUGCCGCCGGGAAGCGCAAGAGGCCGUCGGAGGACGGUGACCGUAACGGGUCGACGAGCCAGCCAGCGGCGGCGGUGACGGGCAAGAAGCCCAACAGUUCUUGCUUGGGUGCAACAACGUUCCAAACAGGCAACAACACCUUGCAGGGGACGUUGCUCCGUUUCUAACAUGGGGAUCGGAUGAACUGACGGUGGAUACACACUAUACUACUUCAACCCCAUCAGUCUGAAUUAUAUACGACUGGCGAACUGGUGAUUUGAAGAACAAUUAUUGGGGUCUAUUUCGCAAGAUAGGUCUAAAUUAGACAAAUUAUUGGUCAAUAUAUAGGGAAAGGGAUUGUACUGCAGGUGUGUGUGUGUGUGUGUGUGUGUGUGUGUGUGUGUGUGUGUGUCGAACGACUAGCUAGGUCCAUGGAUCAUACUAGUAGAUAUGGUUUGUAGUGUGUACACAAUAUUUUUGUCUCCAAGGCAUGCAGUACAAUCAUGUACUUGAAGCUUACGACCGUGCUAAGAAGGGCUUGAUCAGACUGAGAUCGACAAACUGAAAGUCUGGAACAUAAGAUGUAAAACAGCGAAAUAUAUUCUUUAAUGGAACCAUUAAUUC